AACGAACGCUGGCGGCAUGCCUAACACAUGCAAGUCGAACGAGAUCUUCGGGUCUAGUGGCGCACGGGUGCGUAACGCGUGGGAAUCUGCCCUUUGGUUCGGAAUAACAGUUGGAAACGACUGCUAAUACCGGAUGAUGACGAAAGUCCAAAGAUUUAUCGCCAGAGGAUGAGCCCGCGUAGGAUUAGCUAGUUGGUGUGGUAAAGGCGCACCAAGGCGACGAUCCUUAGCUGGUCUGAGAGGAUGAUCAGCCACACUGGGACUGAGGCACGGCCCAGACUCCUCCGGGAGGCAGAAGGGGGGAAUAUUGGACAAUGGGCGAAAGCCUGAUCCAGAAAUGCCGCGUGAGUGAUGAAGGCCUUAGGGUUGUAAAGCUCUUUUACCCGGGAUGAUAAUGACAGUACCGGGAGAAUAAGCUCCGGCUAACUCCGUGCCAGCCGCCGCGGUAA
rnacentral:rRNA from 1 species